rnacentral:rRNA from 1 species
UACGUAGGGGGCAAGCGUUAUCCGGAUUUACUUGGUGUAAAGGGGGCGUAGACGGCAAGACAAGCCUGGAGUGAAAGGCGGGGGCCCAACCCCCGGACUGCUCUGGGAACUGUCUGGCUGGAGUGCAGGAGGGGUAAGUGGAAUUCCUAGUGUAGCGGUGAAAUGCGUAGAUAUUAGGAGGAACACCAGUGGCGAAGGCGGCUUACUGGACUGUAACUGACGUUGAGGCUCGAAAGCGUGGGGAGCAAACAGG